CCUACGGGUGGCAGCAGUGGGGAAUAUUGCACAAUGGGGGAAACCCUGAUGCAGCGACGCCGCGUGAAUGAAGAAGUAAUUCGUUAUGUAAAGCUCUAUCAGCAGGGAAGAAAAUGACAGUACCUGAGUAAGAAUCCCCGUCUAACUCCGUGCCAGAAGCCGCGGUAAUACGUAGGGGGCAAGGGUUAUCCGGAUUUACUGGGUGUAAAGGGGGCGUAGACGGCAGUUCAAGUCUGGAGUGAAAGUAUGGGGCUCAACCCCCGGAAUGCACUGGAAACUGUACGGCUGGAGUGCAGGAGAGGUAAGUGGAAUUCCUGGUGUAGCGGUGAAAUGCUUAGAUAUUAGGAGGAACACCAGUGGCGAAGGCGGCUUACUGGACUGUAACUGACGUUGAGGCUCGAAAGUGUGGGGAGCAAACAGGAUUAGAUACCCCAGUAGUC
rnacentral:rRNA from 1 species